UACGAAGGGGGCUAGCGUUAUUCGGAAUGAUUGGGCGUAAAGGGCGCGUAGGCGGUUUUGUAAGUCUUUAGUGAAAUCCCCGGGCUUAACCUGGGAAUUGCUUGAGAUACUGCAAGACUAGAGUACGGGAGAGGGUAGUGGAAUCUUUGGUGUAGAGGUGAAAUUCUUAGAUAUCAGAGAGAACGUCGGUGGCGAAAGCGACUACCUAGAACGUAACUGACGCUGAGGCGCGAAAGCGUGGGGAGCAAAUCGG
rnacentral:rRNA from 1 species